CGAGUGUUCCCACCUGAAAGCCGAGUUUGGUUUCAAGCCACCCUGGACAACUGCAGUAUGAGGCGCCGUUUGUCAGGGGGACCAGUGGGAAGGCGUCAGGUCAUGCAGAUGAUAGCAGCAGUUUCACAACGCCCAGCCUUAGUGCCCUCCAUCAAGAGCAAGCCACUUGCGUUCGCCUUCAGACAGAUGGUUGAUGUCUUGUUGGACACAGUUGUGAAGACAACAUUGAUUCAAGAUUCCAGCAUAGCCAUGCGCUGCAUUUAUUGGUCAAGAUGCUCAAAGAAUGGAGUCCCUGCACUUAGUGGUUAACCAUGAA
rnacentral:lncRNA from 1 species